UACGAAGGGGGCUAGCGUUGUUCGGAAUUACUGGGCGUAAAGCGCGCGCAGGCGGUCUUCCAAGUCAGUGGUGAAAGCCCGGAGCUCAACUCCGGAACUGCCAUUGAAACUGUAAGACUUGAGGACGAGAGAGGUGAGUGGAAUUCCCAGUGUAGAGGUGAAAUUCGUAGAUAUUCGCAAGAACACCAGUGGCGAAGGCGGCCCACUGGACGUGUAUUGACGCUGAGGUGCGAAAGCGUGGGGAGCAAACA
rnacentral:rRNA from 1 species